rnacentral:misc_RNA from 1 species
AAGGAUACCGUUCAACAGCGAGAUCCAUCGGAUCAUAGUGCGGUCAGCCAUCUGCGCGCCUCCCUCUUCCCUGCCUGCCCCUUCAGUUCACCACCAUCAUCGUCAUCAUCCGGAAGUGUUUACGGCCGCCUCUUUAUUGCACACCUCCUCGCCUUUUCUUCGUCCUCCAUCAGGAAGAAGAAGUCCAAAGAAACAGAAGAGAAGGGAGGGCAGCGCUGCCCCGGCCCACGACGCUGCUGUCAUCGAUGCUUUCUUGUGUGUGUGUCUCUUGUUUUCCAUGCUCUGUCACCGCCGUUCUGCAGGCCCAGGUCAUGCGCUCCGUUGCCCCUUAUGGACCUCUCUUUUCACAACUACCACAUCCGCAAUCCUAGUAGCACAUCCCCCAUCUUCGACACCGUUGUCGCUGCCCUUAGCAUCUUCGUCGAACGCCAAGUCGGCUAGGCCCCCGCCUACCCUUCUGCCUGAUAUCAGCGGCAGUACCUUAGCGUGUUCACGUCGGCAUUAUCGAUCGUCAUCUCUGACAACCUCGCAGCCGCUUUUUAGCCCUGGCGGCAGCGGCGGUGCAUCAGGAACCCCACUGGCAGGCUUUCGGCGCGUUGGAACUCCAGCCAUGCCACAGGAUAGCGUGGAGGUGCCGUGCAGCACGCAGCUGACCAUCGGCGAUGUGGUCAUUCCGGUGCCAGACUACGCGGUGCACCCCGAGCGAGUGGUCUGGGCCUCCCCCGGCGUCGACCACACCGCGCCGUACCUUCAAUCGAUGGCUGCGGUCGACUCGCAGGCGGGAGCCAUGAACCCCACCGGCGGCUUACCCUCCUUGAACGACGGUGCGUUGGCGGAGGAGAACAUAUUCUUCACGCUGCAGGACCCGCUCACGCGCAGCUACCUCCGCUGGAUCGCGCAGAAGGAGCAGCUGGGCCAGGACAUGUGCCUCAUCGGUGACCCCGGCCCCGCCAUGCGCUGGCUGGUGAUGCUUUACAGUCACCUCACUCGCCGCGAGAUCCGAGUCGUUUACCUAAACAGCGACAUCACCGAGAGCGAUCUGAAACAGCGUCGCGAGAUUCGGAACGGCAACCUCGUCUACGACGACCAAAGCGCUGUCUCGGCUGCCGUGGAGGGCCAGCUGCUGGUGCUGGAGGGUUUGACGCGGGUGGAGCGCAAUGUGCUGCCCGUGAUCAACAACCUGCUUGAAAACCGUGAGAUGCACCUCGACAACGGCUCCGUUCUCAUUCACCCGGCGCGCUACGACUCGCUACUGCAGAAGCUCUACGAGUCGAAGCUCCAGCAGAGGGGCUACCAGCCGCACAGCACAAGCGAUGGUGUGCCAAGCGCCGAACUGAUUGCUGAGGCGAAGCGUGAGCUGGCUCAGAUGGGCCUGGUGCGCGUUUCUGAGAAGUUCCGCGUGAUUGGCAUUACGGUGCCGGUGCCACCGUACGAAGGCAACCCGCUCGAUCCUCCGCUGCGCUCGCGCUUCCAGUGCCUGUACGUCCGCACGCCGAUGCCAGUGGUGACGCCAUCGUCGUCUGUGGUGAGCGCUUUGGUGGCGAGCGCGGCUGGCGAGAGCGGCAACAACCACAAGCAUGCGAAGAAAGUGGCAGAGCUGGAGGAGCGGCAGUCGACCCGCUUCGCGCAGGUGGUGCAGCUGCGCGCGGCCAUCGCCGCCAUCAACGACUCCACGCGCGAUUUCGAGCUAAGCAAGCCAAGCAAGAAGAAUUCUGCCUCAGUGGCGCCGGCGCGUGGCCGUGGUAGAAGCCCGUACGCCCCCAUUCACUAUAGCGGCGGCAUGGAGGAGCAGCUCUCCAGGGUUGGCGCUGACGCCGCCACGAAUGAGGAUGACGGGGACAGCGUCAGCGGCAGCGGCGUUGCUGUGGCGGGCAGUCCUCUGCAGACUUUAGGCAGCUGGGCCCUCGCCACCAUUGCCCAACAGCUCGCCAUCUUCCCUGAUAUACCGGUGGGUGAGGCUGUCAUGCGGGGCUUUCCAUGGCCCUACUACGCCCGCCAACUCACUCGCAGCGGCGCAGGUGGCGCGACGACGGGGUACGCGAACGUCGAGGAGUACCACCGCCGACUGGCGCAGUACGCAGAGGUGCUUCAGCAUUGCCACGUGUAUCCACCUUUGCUGCUGACAGCUGAUCUCACGACCAGCAACGCGCGUGCUCAUCGUUCCAGCAGUGAGAAUAGUAGACUAAAUACCCUGCACUGCCCCCAAGUGCGCGAGCCACCCUUCAAGAGGUCGCGUGCGAGUGAAAGGCUGCGCGCUCUAGUGCAAGGGCAAGACGUGGAGUCAGCGGAUGACGAGCCCCGCGGCGCAGCGGCAGCGCGUGCCUACGUUCGCUCGGCCCAGCUCGUAUCGGCUGCCGUGACGGUCGCUAGCGUUCCAUUGACGGUGCAGCAGACUUGCAACUAUAUCCUCCAGUACCGGAACGUUACAUCCACCACGGCGUUCUCCGGCGUGCCGGUUGUGGUGGCAGAGGCGGUGGUGGCGACUGCUGCGCACAGCGCUGCACAUCCUGGCCACUCGGGGACGUACCUCCUGAAGGUCUUCAUGGGAGCUCAGGCGCUCUUCUCACGCGGGCCUUUCCACGCGAGUGGAAAUGCUGGGUGGGACGUCGCGGAGCACCUCAGCACUACCGCUGCGCCCUCCACGGUCUUUACAACAGAGCACUACCACGUCCUGCAGACGAUGCUGCAGGUGCACGCCAGCCGACAACACAUCUGUCUGCUCGGCCCCACCGGCUGCGGCAAGACAGCCAUGGUGCGCGCGUUUGGGCGGCUGCUGGGGUACGGACUUGCGUCGACGAUGCACCUGUACGCGGACAUGACGCACAAGGACCUUUUCCAGCAGCGCAUGACGGACCCCAAGACGGGCAACACGACGUGGCAGGACUCACUACUGCUGCACGCCGCCAUCUACGGCGAGCUGGUUGUGCUGGAUGGCAUGGAGAAGCUGCCGAGCGGGAUGCUAUCAUCCUUACAGCAGAUCCUCGUGGACCAGAGCGCCGUGCUGGCUGACGGCACAAUCUUGAAGUCGCCGAUGGAGUAUAACCUGCUAAAGGAGAGGCUCACCGAGCGCGACCCGAGUACCGGAGCGGUGGUGUGGCAACCGACGGAUGCGGACAUGCGGGAGCGGAAGAUCUUCCCGGUGCACCCGUGCUUUCGAGUGGUGGCAACGGCACGUCCGCCACUACCCGCCAGCGGCGGGGCGGCCGGAAGCCGAGGUGCGCGGGACUUCUUCAUCACACAAGACCUCACAACGCUGUUCCGCAUGGUGGCGAUGCCGGACGCCGGCGAGGACGCGCUAGGACCGGUGCUGCGGCAAGUCGCACAGGCAGAGGCACGGCUGCUGCAGGCGGAGGCGUGGCGGAAGCAAGAGGCACCGGCGGCGACCCAGCAGCGCAUCGAGGCUGUUGUGGGCCAACUUAUCCAGUUGCGCAACGAGCUGGAGGAGCUUCACAGCACAGACGGCAAGAUGCCGCAGCUCAGCCUCCGGCAGCUGCGCCAGCUCGUCCGCUCUGCUGUGCGUUACCCAUCACGCAUCGAGGAGAAUGUGCGCAACACGCUGUUGCUGCCCCUGAUGACAGGCGUCGCCGCUACCAAGGUGCGGCACGCGCUGGAGACCUGCGGGCUGGCACAGCCGAGCGUCCGUACGGCGACGGGACGCGGUGACGCAACGUCAGCAUCACCGACUGCGGAGGGCGAAGUUCUUGUGGCUGCAGAUGACGCCUUCCGCACCGGCGGCGAGACUUCCAUGAGCUCGAGUCGACUUUGGAACGUGAAUGGCGAGCCUGUGCUGCUGCUUUCUCGCGCGUACACACAGGCAGAGCUGGCCCUGGUGCCGUACGUCACCGGAUUCCAUGCGAAUCGAGUGCACGAGUCGAUCCUGGCUUGGCUGGCGAAGCAGUACGCCAUGGGCAGUAAUAUCCUCCUCAUCGGCAACCAGGGUGUGGGGAAGAACAAGGUGGUGGACGCCUUUCUUUCGCGCCUCGGCAUCCCGCGGCACUACAUCCAGCUGCACCGUGACACGACCGUGGGCAGCUUGACGAUUAACCCCACGGUAGAGGCCGGCAAGGUCGUCUGGGAGGACUCGCCACUGGUGAAGGCGGUCCAGCGAGGUCACUGCCUUGUGGUGGACGAGAUCGACAAGGCGCCAGUCGAGGUGGUGCAGGUGCUAAAGGGCCUUAUCGAGGACCGCGAGAUGCGGCUCGGUGACGGGAGGCAGAUCUGCGACCCGGCGAUGGAACCUCACGCAACAGCGGCAGCAGCAGGGGUGGCAGGGACGACGCAGCGCAUCGCCAUUCACCCGGACUUUCGCAUUAUCGUGUUGGCCAACCCGCCAGGCUUUCCGUUUCACGGCAACGACUUCUUCCGCGAGUGUGGCGACCUUUUCGCCGCAUACGUGAUGGGCAACCCGGACGCGGAGUCGCAGCUGCGUGUCUUGACUGCCUACGCGCCAACCCUGCCGCGGUCGUUACUCGAGCGCCUUGUUCUGGUCUUUCUCGAGCUGCAGAGCGCCUUCACGCAAGGGAACCUGACCUACCCCUUCUCGCUCCGCGAACUGAUCGCGGUGGUGAAGCACAUGUCACGCUAUCCGCAAGACGGAGUUUACGAGGCACUCAACAACGUCUUCAACUUCGACGCCCGUGACGAGAACACGCUGCGGGUGGUGCGGCAGGUGCUCGCCAACUACCUCCAACCAAUGAUUCAACAAGGUGGCCUGCAGCGGCUCAAGCCGUACAAGGCAGCGCAGCCAACACCCCUGCUGCCCUUUAAGGAGCUGGUGACGCUACCCAUGACAGCGAUGACCGCGACGUCGACGGCGGCGGAUGCGGCGUACUUUUCCGCUCUUGUCUGCCUCCCGGCAGAGGUGACGCUCAGCGAGCACCGCUUCCUGUCACGCAUUGUGGAGGCAGAAGAGGAGGUGGCGGCGGCGCGGCCACAGGGCGGUCGCGGGAGCGGCACAACGGUAACGCUGUGGAACACAACGUAUCCCACAGAGUCGUUUUUCCCUGCCUCGCCAGCGACGUCCUCUGCCGACGCCGCCUCAUCCGCCGCAGAGGCCUUCACGGAAUGGGCAAGCCAUUUUACCCUGCCAUUCGUGAACCCCAGCACCGACACGGUUGUUGCCAUGACCUCUGUGACGGCUGUUGGCGGCGCCGAUGCGGAAAUGGAGGCGGUGACAAUGCCGCUGCUCUCGGUCUUGCUGCUUCGCCGCACGUCCGGAAAGGACGGCAGCGGCGGCACGAGUAAAUCAUCGCCCGGUGCAGCAGCGCUGCGGUUGAUUGUCGCGACCGUGCGCUUGCCGCCUUCCUCUAUAGAGACUCGUUACUUGGUCGCCGACAAGGCGGAAGAACUGGCGACGCUCUGGCCGGUGGGCCACGUGCGGUUUGCGGACGUGACCUCGGCGUACGCCACGGAGCUAGCGACCGCGGCUGCACACCCGUUUUCGCUCUUCCGAUUCACUGGUUUCACCUUGUCUGCACAGGCGCUUCCUUGGAGCACCGGUGACGGCGAGGCGGGUGACACCGUGGGGCAGCAGCAGCACCGCCGUAUCUGGCCGCCGUCGCUGGCGACCUGGUCGCAGACGGCGGGUGCGCGGAGGUCUCUGCUGCGCAAGAAUGACGGUGCUGGAUCGGCCGCCGGGCGCGCUCCGCAGGGUGUUGUGCUGUUGUCCUCUAACAAGACAGGCUGCACGGCGCUGAUUGACGUGCUGGCGGGUGCUGCCUCGGACUUGUACAUGACGCGCAUGGGCAUCGCAGAAGGAGAAAUGACAGCAGUGAGCAAUACACCCGGCGCAGUAACCACCACGUCUCUCGGACCUGUGCUGCCGCUUCACCUAGACCGGUGCUUGAACGCUGCAUCGGCGCCGCCAGCGGCGCAGGCAAGUGUGCGUGUGCUUGACGUGAGUCCCCGCCACGGUGUCAUCUGCUUUGCCGCCGCCUCGUCUACCAUGAGGGAGCUUCUUUUUGUCGUCCAAGGGCGAGUCGUGAGGGUGAGCUUCCCACAUCCGGUGGUGUCGCUUCGGUUCGUGGGCAGUCGAUUGGCGAUGGUGGAGAUGGAGGCUGCUGCUGUCGGUGAUGUCCGUGAGACAUCGCAACGAAGGGCACAUCGCCGCGCUGGCGUUGUGAAGGUUUCGGUGGCAGCCGACGGCAGCGCUCAUGCGACGAUGCUGCCUCUCUCGCCGGAUACGCAAUGUCUGGAGCUCGUGGAGGCCCCCGCGGAUGCUGCAGGUGAUGAUGGGCCCACGGAGUACCUCUCUGCAAGCGACCGGAGCAGCGCGUCACAUGAUGUCCUUGUCCCAGCAGACUUGAAGGGGUCGGUGUGGCGCAUCGCUGCUGCUGCUGAUGGGUCUUCGGCGAGCACACCGCCACCCGCCGAUGGAGCCUCCGAGAUCAGCGAGGACGACCCAGCCGGUCGCAACAUCGUCUACGCUCGCGUCGAGGGCACCGCAGAGAGCGGGCUGCAGCUGCGCUACUAUAAGAGUAAGACCGGCUCUGCCGCCGCGAGCGUCGCCCUGCCCGCCUUCACCACCCUUGUUGACGACGCACGUCAUCAGCUUCUCCAUAUCCACCCUGACGGCCAAACGGUCUCCGCGAUCGACACGCAACACGCCACACAGCGCACGUUUGCCCGCGCCCCUGGGGCGACAGUCCAGGCGGCUUCCGCGUCGCCUUCUGCUGCUGCAGCCGCAGAGAACCGCUGGUCCCUUGACAGCCGCAGCGGCACUGUCUACGCAUGGCAGUCGACGUCGCAGCAGCUCUCCGUUGCCGAUGUGGAUGGGGAGCGCGUGCGGCAGCGUUACUCAGAAUGGUCGUCACUCCUCACCGGCAACGCGGCGACUGUCGGCGACGCUGCCACUGUCGAGGAGGGCGAGGAGGACGUGAAGGACUUCAAGAUGAAGUACAGCACGCCGCGCAAGCAGCCCUCCGGCACCUUGAAGCACGGCGAGAUCGACGACAAGGAGCACCACGGCGGCAACACGUGGGCCGGCGGCACUGGGGGCACAGACACUGCGGGGCUUGGAGGGAUUAUCGGGCCCUACCGUCUCGACAAGGGCAACCCUGUGCAUCAGGUGUCGCCCGAGGAGAAGCGCAAGGUUCCGAAACACCUGAUGGAAGAGGCGCGGCGGAUGGGCCGCAAGGCGCUCAAGGAACGCCUGCAGUCGAUUGGCAUGUCCGAAGAGGAGUACGAGCAGUACAAAGGCCUGCAGGAGCGCGUGCAGCCGGCGGUAGCGCAGCUGCGGACGCUCUUGAUGGGGCUGAAGGCUUCCGAGGGCGAGCGGGUGUGGAUUACAGGGCAGACGGACGGCGUGUGGGACGACAAGAAGCUUGUCGAGGGGAUCGUUGGCGAAAAGAACGUAUACAAGCGCCGCGCCGACUCGAAGGAGACGAACCCGUUUCAGCAGCAGCACAAGAAGCGGCUGGUCUUUGUGCUAGACGUGAGUGCGAGCAUGUACCGCUUCAACAGCAUGGAUCAGCGCUUGACGAAGCUGCUCGAGACGACUAUCAUGAUCAUGGAGGCCUUUGCCGGGUUCGAGUCGAAGCUGGACUACGCCAUGAUUGGCCACAACGGCGACAGCGACAACAUCCCUCUCGUUAACUUCGGCGCCCCACCGGCGAACCAAAAGGAGCGCAUGAUCAUCUGUCAGAAGAUGUUGGCUUACGCGCAGUACUGCUGGUCCGGCGACAACACCGUCGAUGCGAUGCGGCGCAGUAUUGAGCUGGUGACGGAGGAGAAGGGCGACUCGUACUUUGUGUUUGUGAUCAGCGACGCGAACCUGCGCCAGUACGGCAUCACGCCGCGCGAGCUGACGGCGAUCAUCCAGAGUAAGCCGGAGGUGAAGAUGUUCUGCAUCUUUAUCGCCACGCUUGGGGCGCAGGCGUCGCACCUGCAGCAGCAGCUACCGGCGGGACAUGGGUAUGAGUGCAUGCGAACCGAUGUGCUGCCGCAGGUCCUGCGUCAGAUCUUCAUCUCCGCGAACUUAUUCUGAGCCGAGCAGGGCCGAAGUCGGAUGUGCCACGCGGCAGCCCCACAAGCGAGAUGAGUGUGCCUUUUGCUCUAUGCGAGUCUUCGCCGAUGUGUGCAUGUGUGUGUGUGUGUGUAAGAUGCCGGUGACGCGGACGGCCUUCUUUCUAUGUCUUGUUCUAAAUGAUGCCCGGCCCCCCCCCCUCCCCCCUCUCCCCUUCCCCCAAUACGCGCGCGCACUGGACACGGAGACGUCGGGAGCGACAGACAUCGAUGCAUGCUGGCGUGCACGCUCUCAGAUACGUUCAAGGCAGCGCGACUGCCACGGUGGUGGUGGUGGUGGUGGGGACAGGCAGGAGCGGGCUACCGUGUGACCGUAUGCCACCAGGGUUCUUCAACUUACAGGCUUCAUCUCGGUGCCGAUGGCCCUCAGCACUGCACCGCCAUGCCGCUGUCUUUGUCCUUGAUGUCCACUUCACCGUGUGCCGUGGUCUCUCCAUCUUUCUUCCUAUUUUCAAGCACAAACCUCCACAG